AACCAGCACCUCGAGUGGUCAGGAGGAUUAUUGGGCCUAAAGCAUCCGUAGCCGGCUUUGUUAGUUUUCGGUUAAAUCCAUGUGCUCAACGCAUGGGCUGCCGAAAAUACUGCAUAGCUAGGGAGUGGGAGAGGUAGACGGUACUCAGUAGGAAGGGGUAAAAUCCUUUGAUCUAUUGAUGACCACCUGUGGCGAAGGCGGUCUACCAGAACACGUUCGACGGUGAGGGAUGAAAGCUGGGGGAGCAAACCGG
rnacentral:rRNA from 1 species